GUCAUGAUGCCACACACACAUUUAAUGAUCAAAUCAUCCAAAGAAAUAAAUACUAUAAGGGUUCUGGUUAGGAAAUAAGUGUGUGUAUUUUUCGUUCACUUUGCAUAUUUUUUCUUCAGGCAACCAUCAGUCAUGUUCUAUUUUGCAGUGAUAAAACCUGGUUUAUUAGAACCAUCAGAUUGUUUUAUUUUUUAUUGAUUCUUUCCAUAAAACAAGGCUCGCCUCAAGACUCGAUUCACAUAUAGCAGUGGUAGCUCGAAGAAGACAUUUGAACAUUACAUGAUCAUUGGUAAUGAAGUGAAUGUUUCUUGCCGACGUUGAAAUACCGAGGAAAUCUUCAGCACGAAAUGUCGAAAUCUAUUUGGACGGCCACAUACAAUCUCACGCUAAGAAAAUGCUACGCAACAUUUUACAAAAAUAAUUCUUCAUUUUUAUGUUUUAUUUGUGUAAUUUUUUAUGUUAA